GCCGGGUGUGGUGGUGUGCACCUGUAGUCCCAGCUACUUGGGAGGCUGAGGCAGGAGAAUUGCUUGAACCCGGGAGAUGGAGGUUGCAGUGAGCUGAGAUCGCACCACUGCACUCCAGCCUGGGUGACAGAGCGAGACUCUGUCUCAA
rnacentral:SRP_RNA from 2 species